rnacentral:sRNA from 1 species
UGUUGAGAGAGAGCGAGAAAAACGGUCGAGGAUUUCUUUUGAAAAAAAUUAUACACAACUCAUUACCACAGCAAAAGGGGCACUGAGCAGAAGAGAGUGAAACGACUUACAGCAAGUGCUGCACAAAAACCUUGCUGCCCUCCUUUAUUACACUACGUUUUCUUGUUUCAUUUUCUCCGUUUCUCUGUCAGUGCCUCCUCCACACCACCAGUGACGGAAAAAUCUGAGAAAGAUGAGCCAGUACUGCAUGUACGAAGCUAUUGGUCUCGGCGGAUACUCAAUAAACCAUUUACAGAGGCAAGAAGAAAAUUUACUAAGAAUAUUAACGAGUAUUUGGCCAUCAAGAAAGUGGAUAAGUGUCAGGAACCUGAGGUCCUAGAAGAGGUAGUCAUUAAAACUGAUUUAGUGUGCUUCCCUGUGUUUCUUGUUUUUUUUUUCAAUACUAAGCCUGUUACUGCUAUAAUGUUUUAGUUUGCAACAGAUUAAUUUUCAUGAGAUAUAGGUCC